rnacentral:rRNA from 1 species
GUGCCAGCCGCCGCGGUAAUACCGGCAGCCCGAGUGAUGGCCGAUAUUAUUGGGCCUAAAGCGUCCGUGGCUGGCCGAACGAGUCCGUCGGGAAAUCCACGUGCUUAACACGUGGGCGACUGGCGGAAACUGCACAGCUUGGGACCGGAAGGCUCGAAGGGUACGUGCGGGGUAGGAGUGAAAUCCUAUAAUCCCGCACGGACCACCGAUGGCGAAAGCACUUCGAGAAAACGGAUCCGACAGUGAGGGACGAAAGCCAGGGUCUCCAACCGGAUUAGAAACCCGUGUAGUCC